UUUGACAUGUAUGGAACCCUCCAGAGAUGGAGGGGUGCCCGAAAGGGAGCCAUAACACAGGUGCUGCAUGGCUGUCGUCAGCUCGUGUCGUGAGAUGUUGGGUUAAGUCCCGCAACGAGCGCAACCCUUGUCAUUAGUUGCUACAUUUAGUUGGGCACUCUAAUGAGACUGCCGGUGACAAACCGGAGGAAGGUGGGGAUGACGUCAAGUCCUCAUGGCCCUUAUAGGUGG
rnacentral:rRNA from 1 species